rnacentral:rRNA from 1 species
GAUGAACGCUGGCGGCGUGCCUAAUACAUGCAAGUCGAGCGAACAGACGAGGAGCUUGCUCCUCUGACGUUAGCGGCGGACGGGUGAGUAACACGUGGAUAACCUACCUAUAAGACUGUGAUAACUUCGGGAAACCGGAGCUAAUACCGGAUAAUAUAUUGAACCGCAUGGUUCAAUAGUGAAAGACGGUUUUGCUGUCACUUAUAGAUGGAUCCGCGCCGCAUUAGCUAGUUGGUAAGGUAACGGCUUACCAAGGCGACGAUGCGUAGCCGACCUGAGAGGGUGAUCGGCCACACUGGAACUGAGACACGGUCCAGACUCCUACGGGAGGCAGCAGUGGGGAAUCUUCCGCAAUGGGCGAAAGCCUGACGGAGCAACGCCGCGUGAGUGAUGAAGGUCUUCGGAUCGUAAAACUCUGUUAUUAGGGAAGAACAAAUGUGUAAGUAACUAUGCACGUCUUGACGGUACCUAAUCAGAAAGCCACGGCUAACUACGUG